GAACGCACAUUGCGCCCCUUGGUAUUCCGGGGGGCAUGCCUGUUCGAGCGUCAUUAACACCACUCAAGCCUGGCUUGGUAUUGGGGUUCGCACACCAGCGGCUCCUAAACUCAGUGGCGGUGCCGUAGGGCUCUUAGCGUAGUAAUUCUUCUCGCUACAGGGUCUUCCGGUGUCUUGCCAUAACCCCAAAUUUUUAAGGUUGACCUCGGAUCAGGUAGGGAUACCCGCUGAACUUAAG
rnacentral:misc_RNA from 1 species